rnacentral:rRNA from 1 species
UGCUAUACAUGCAAGUCGUGCGGACUUAUCUUCGGAUAAGUUAGCGGCGGACGGGUGAGUAACACGUGGGCAACCUGCCUGUAAGACUGGGAUAACUCCGGGAAACCGGUGCUAAUACCAGAUACAAUCAAAGACCGCCUGGUCUUUGAUGGAAAGGUCUUGUACCGCUUACAGAUGGGCCCGCGGCGCAUUAGCUAGUUGGUGGGGUAAUGGCCUACCAAGGCGACGAUGCGUAGCCGACCUGAGAGGGUGAUCGGCCACACUGGGACUGAGACACGGCCCAGACUCCUACGGGAGGCAGCAGUAGGGAAUCUUCCGCAAUGGACGAAAGUCUGACGGAGCAACGCCGCGUGAGUGAUGAAGGCUUUCGGGUCGUAAAACUCUGUUGUCAGGGAAGAACAUCCGGGAUAACCUCCCGGUCUGACGGUACCUGAUCAGAAAGCCCCGGCUAACUACGUGCCAGCAGCCGCGGUAAUACGUAGGGGGCAAGCGUUGUCCGGAAUUAUUGGGCGUAAAGCGCGCGCAGGCGGUUUCUUAAGUCUGGUGUGAAAGCCCGCAGCUCAACUGCGGAGGGCCACUGGAAACUGGGAAGCUUGAGUGUAGGAGAGGAGAGCGGAAUUCCACGUGUAGCGGUGAAAUGCGUAGAUAUGUGGAGGAACACCCGUGGCGAAAGCGGCUCUCUGGCCUAUAACUGACGCUGAGGCGCGAAAGCGUGGGGAGCGAACAGGAUUAGAUACCCU